rnacentral:rRNA from 1 species
AGGUGAGCGAGUGAACUAUUGUUAAGGAACUCUGCAAAAUGAGUCCGUAACUUCGGAAGAAGGACUGCUGGUUUUAUACCAGCCGCAGCAAAUAGGCCCAAACAACUGUUUAUCAAAAACACAGGUUUCUGCAAAAUCGUAAGAUGAAGUAUAGGGGCUGACGCCUGCCCAGUGCUGGAAGGUUAAAAGGAGGACUUAGCUUCGGCGAAGGUCUUAAUUGAAGCCCCAGUGAACGGCGGCCGUAACUAUAACGGUCCUAAGGUAGCGAAAUUCCUUGUCGGGUAAGUUCCGACCCGCAUGAAAGGCGUAAUGAUUUGGGCGCUGUCUCAACAAUAGACUCGGUGAAAUUUAAAUUCCAGUGAAGAUGCUGGGUACCCGCGACAGGACGGAAAGACCCCGUGGAGCUUUACUGUAGCUUGAUAUUGAAUGUUUGUGCUGCAUGUGCAGGAUAGGUAGGAGACUUUGAAGUCGGAACGCUAGUUUCGAUUGAGUCACCCUUGAGAUACUACCUCUGUUGUAUGAACGUUCUAACUCUGAUCAGUUAUCCUGAUCGAAGACAGUGUCUGGCAGGCAGUUUGACUGGGGCGGUCGCCUCCUAAAAGAUAACGGAGGCGCUCAAAGGUUUGCUCAGAAUGGUUGGAAAUCAUUCGUAGCGUGUAAAGGCAUAAGCAAGCUUGACUGUGAGACUGACAAGUCGAGCAGGUACGAAAGUAGGACUUAGUGAUCCGGUGGUUCCGUAUGGAAGGGCCAUCGCUCAACGGACAAAAGCUACCCCGGGGAUAACAGGCUCAUCUCCCC